GCUGUAACUCAAUGGUAGAGCAUCUGCUUUGUAUACAGAAAUCCCUAGGUUCAAUCCCUGGCAUCUCCA